UCUGCUUUCUUAUCCGGCAUGUAAUAAAC
rnacentral:piRNA from 2 species